rnacentral:rRNA from 1 species
ACAAUGGGCGCAAGCCUGAUGCAGCGACGCCGCGUGAGGGAUGGAGGCCUUCGGGUUGUAAACCUCUUUUGUUUGGGAGCAAGCCUUCGGGUGAGUGUACCUUUCGAAUAAGCGCCGGCUAACUACGUGCCAGCAGCCGCGGUAAUACGUAGGGCGCAAGCGUUAUCCGGAUUUAUUGGGCGUAAAGGGCUCGUAGGCGGCUCGUCGCGUCCGGUGUGAAAGUCCAUCGCUUAACGGUGGAUCUGCGCCGGGUACGGGCGGGCUGGAGUGCGGUAGGGGAGACUGGAAUUCCCGGUGUAACGGUGGAAUGUGUAGAUAUCGGGAAGAACACCGAUGGCGAAGGCAGGUCUCUGGGCCGUCACUGACGCUGAGGAGCGAAAGCGUG